UACGGAGGAUCCGAGCGUUAUCCGGAUUUAUUGGGUUUAAAGGGUGCGCAGGCGGGAGAUUAAGUCGGCGGUGAAAUUUUGCAGCUCAACUGUAAAAGUGCCUUCGAAACUUGUUUCCUUGAGUGUAGAUGAAGUAGGCGGAAUUUGUGGUGUAGCGGUGAAAUGCAUAGAUAUCACGAGGAACUCCGAUUGCGCAGGCAGCUUACUAAACCAUAACUGACGCUCAUGCACGAAGGCGUGGGGAUCAAACAGGAUUAGAUACCCCGGUAGU
rnacentral:rRNA from 1 species